rnacentral:lncRNA from 1 species
UAACAGUUUCACCUUUCUGUCUUAAACUGGAUCCGCAGACUCUAGAUGGCGAACUUGAUGAAAAAUAUAAGAAGGUAGAGAGUUUAAUUGCCCAAAAAACUGAAGAGUCAGCAGAUGCCAGGAGGAAAGCUGAGCUGCUACAAAAUGAAGCAAAAACACUCCUGGCCCAAGCCAACAGCAAACUUCAGCUGUUAGAAGGUGGGUCUUUUCUUCCCAAUUGGUCUUUUAUAAGGGUGAAGACUUAGGUUUUCAUGGUCUUACUUUAAGAUCAUAUGCUAUAAACAGCUCAUUCUUACUGCUUUUAUCAUCUCCACAGACUUAGAAAGGAAGUAUGAGGACAAUCAAAAGUACUUAGAAGAUAAAGCUCAAGAACUGGUGCGACUGGAAGGAGAGGUGCGCUCACUCCUUAAGGACAUAAGUGAGAAAGUUGCCGUUUACAGCACCUGCUUAUAACAGAGGAUGGGGCUGUAGGGUGGCUCAGUGACCAAAGUAAACAUGCGCAAACUGCUGCCUCGACCUACAGAUAACUCAUCCUCAUUUAAUGUCUUUAACCACCUUCUUUUGUAUGGAGCUAAAUAAAAUACAUUGGUUUUAUAUAAAC